rnacentral:rRNA from 1 species
GACGAACGCUGGCGGCGUGCCUAAUACAUGCAAGUCGAGCGGAUCUCGAGGAGCUUGCUCCUUGAGAUUAGCGGCGGACGGGUGAGUAACACGUGGGCAACCUGCCUGUAAGACUGGGAUAACACCGGGAAACCGGUGCUAAUACCGGAUAAUUCUUUCCCUCACAUGAGGGGAAGCUGAAAGUCGGUUUCGGCUGACACUUACAGAUGGGCCCGCGGCGCAUUAGCUAGUUGGUGAGGUAACGGCUCACCAAGGCAACGAUGCGUAGCCGACCUGAGGGGGUGAUCGGCCACACUGGGACUGAGACACGGCCCAGACUCCUACGGGAGGCAGCAGUAGGGAAUCUUCCGCAAUGGACGAAAGUCUGACGGAGCAACGCCGCGUGAGUGAUGAAGGCCUUCGGGUCGUAAAACUCUGUUGUUAGGGAAGAACAAGUAUCGGAGUAACUGCCAGUACCUUGACGGUACCUAACCAGAAAGCCACGGCUAACUACGUGCCAGCAGCCGCCGUAAGAC